AUGGUCUGCGCUUCUCAUGAGGUAUUGUCAUUUGCCUACCUCGCCACAUAUUUCAUUCGACUUCAGGGAAAAAAGUCUGAACAGUAGAGAGGAGGUGGAGAGAGUGGUAAAAGAAAAGAAAAUGAGAAUUCGGCCACAGUUGCAUUCUGUCUUCUUAAAUAACAAUGCUGAAUUUUUAUAACAUGUUUUCCGCAAGCUGCGGUCUCUGUUCUGAACAUGAGAGCGUGACACAUCUCAUGUACUGCUUUGAGAACGAAAUGAAAAGAUGAAAGUAAGCUUCCUCUGCUUCGCUCUUGUCGUCGUCGUGAUUAUAGUCAAGGAAGUGGAAGUUGCCUCAUUAACAAGGGGCCGCCCUGGAUAUCCCGUUGGAAAGCCUGGGUCACGCUUUAGAAGGGGCAGAUACAGAAACCCGGGGGGCAACAAGCCAAGAAACCGGAAACCAGGAGGGCACGGAAGCAGUACACGCAACCGUAAGCCUGCAAAGCAUUCCAGUGGGACGAAAAAGCAUGAGAGCAAGAAACCCUUUCCCUCGAAGCAUGAAGAGCCACAUAAGAAUGAAUCAGGGACAACGAGCAAAAAACCCGAAGAUACGACAGGAACCGGAAUGAACCACAAUGAAACGGGAAAUGCGGGAAUGAUGUCAGGAGGAAUGAUGCCAGGAGGAAUGAUGGGUGGCUAUGGGAUGGAUAUGGGAAUGGGUGGAUACGGCAUGAUGGGAGGCAUGGGUAUGGGUAUGGGCAUGGGUAUGGGUAUGGGUAUGGAAGGUAUGGCAGGAAUGGGAAUGGGUAUGGGGAUGGGAAGUAUGGGGACGGGAAGUAUGGGAAUGGGAGGCAUGGGUGCUGGGGGAGGCGCCGGAACUGGCACGGGUGACACGGGUGGCACGGGCCUUAAUGACCUUCUUAAAGACGCGAUAGACAAAAAGAAUAAAAGAAAUGAAGACUCAGCAGCUGGAGAAGAAGAUGGAUUUGGAGGUGGAGAUGAACUGUUAUCAGAAGAUAAGCCAAAAAAGAAAAACAAAGGAAAAGGUUCCAAGGAAGACGAUAAAGAAGGAAAGUCAGAAAAGGAAGGCGAAGAAUGGAAAGAAAAUCGAAAGGAAGACGAAAGAAAAGGAGACAGGUCAAAAGACAAAGAUAAAGCCGGAAAAGAUGGUGCUGACAAGGAUAAAGAAGGAAAGAAGAAAGAGGAUAAGGAAACGGAGAAAAAAACUAAUAACGAGGAAAAGUCAGGUAUGCAAAAAAGAAGGUGGUGCAGGUGAAGAAGCAUCUAAACCAGAUAAAAACAGAAGGAGAGCCAGAAAAUAACGGCAAAGGGAAAGCUGGAUAUACAUCCCGACGUAAACCGCAACAGAUACUCGAGAAGAUGGCGCCACGACCACAUUGGAUUCAUUCUUUUUAUGUGAUGAUGCUAUGUGGUGUUUAUCGGCGCAAGGGCCAUUUGAUGACCAAAGAGCACCAGGACAUGACGUGGGAUUCUCUCUAUAUGAUUAUCAAAACAUUUCAAAUGAGUACUUUUCUAGGCACAAACUCUGAAUGCUCUUGGCAGAAAACAAUACAGUAUUUUGGCAAAUUGGACAUGCUUCUUAUUGCUUUUAGGGGCGAAGCUAGUCUUAGUCUAACCUUGUCACGUCUCCGUUGUCCGGCGUAGCCACCUUUGCAAACUGCCCACUACUUCGUCUUUGCAAACAUCCCACUACGACCCAUCACCGAUCCUUUGCAAACUGCCCACUACUUGUCUUUGCAAACAUCCCAAUACGAUUCAUCACCGAUCCAUUACUUCACCGACCAUAAAGACGUUAUAAUGAAAGGGGAACGGAAGCCAACUUUGCAAAUGGCCCACUACUUCGUCUUUGCAAACAUCCCACUACUACCCAUCACCGAUCCAUCACUUCACCGACCAUAAAGCCGUUAUAAUUAAGGGGGAACGGAAGCCACGUCUAGCUACCACUUACGAUUAAUAAAAUUUCUUGUAUAAAUAUAUACAGUGUU